rnacentral:piRNA from 1 species
UGAGUGCUUGUGAGAAUAUUCCUAAAAAUC